UGGGGAAUUUUGGACAAUGGGCGCAAGCCUGAUCCAGCAAUGCCGCGUGAGUGAAGAAGGCCUUCGGGUUGUAAAGCUCUUUCGGCCGGGACGAAAUCGCCUUCAUUAAUAACGGGGGUGGAUGACGGUACCGGAAGAAGAAGCACCGGCUAACUACGUGCCAGCAGCCGCGGUAAUACGUAGGGUGCGAGCGUUAAUCGGAAUUACUGGGCGUAAAGCGUGCGCAGGCGGUUUCGUAAGCCAGACGUGAAAUCCCCGGGCUUAACCUGGGAAUUGCGUUUGGGACUGCGAAGCUAGAGUACGGCAGAGGGAGGUGGAAUUCCACGUGUAGCAGUGAAAUGCGUAGAUAUGUGGAGGAACACCGAUGGCGAAGGCAGCCUCCUGGGUUAGUACUGACGCUCAUGCACGAAAGCGUGGGGAGCAAACAGG
rnacentral:rRNA from 1 species